rnacentral:tRNA from 1 species
AAAAUCCUAGCUUAAUUAAAGCAUCUGAGUUGCAUUCAGGAGAUGCAGGAUAACGUCCUGCGGAUUUUA